rnacentral:rRNA from 1 species
AUUGAACGCUGGCGGCAGGCCUAACACAUGCAAGUCGAGCGGAUGAAGGGAGCUUGCUCCUGGAUUCAGCGGCGGACGGGUGAGUAAUGCCUAGGAAUCUGCCUGGUAGUGGGGGAUAACGUCCGGAAACGGGCGCUAAUACCGCAUACGUCCUGAUGGAGAAAGUGGGGGUUCUUCGGACCUCACGCUAUCAGAUGAGCCUAGGUCGGAUUACCUAGUUGGUGGGGUAAAGGCCUACCAAGGCGACGAUCCGUAACUGGUCUGCGAGGGUGAACAGGCACACGGGAACUGGGAAACGGGCCAGACCCCUAAGGGAGGGAACAGGGGGGAAAAUUGGGACAAGGGGGAAAACCCGACUCCACCCAGGCCGGGGGGGGAAAAAAGGCUUUGGGUUUUAAAACCCUUUUAGGGGGGGAGAAAAGAGGGUAAAUUAAACCUUUGCUUUUUGACGGUACCCAACAAAAAAGCCACGGCUAACUUCGUG